rnacentral:misc_RNA from 1 species
UACGGAGGGUGCAAGCGUUGUCCGGAUUUAUUGGGUUUAAAGGGUGCGUAGGCGGCCGAUUGAGCCAGCGGUGAAAGCCCGGGGCUCAACCCCGGAACCGCCGUUGAUACUGGUUGGCUUGGGUAUGGACGAGGUUGGCGGAAUUGAGGGUGUAGCGGUGAAAUGCUUAGAUACCCUCAAGAACACCGAUUGCGUAGGCAGCUAACUAGGCCAUAACUGACGCUGAGGCACGAAAGCGUGGGGAGCGAACAGG